UGUGUAGGCGGGCCGUUAAGUAUCUUGUGAAAUCCCCCGGCUCAACCGGGGAAUUGCUGGAUAUACUGGCGGUCUUGAGCAAUCUAGGGGCAGAUGGAACAAGUGGUGGAGCGGUGAAAUGCGUAGAUAUCACUUGGAACGCCAAAGGUGAAGACAGUCUGCUGGGGAUUUGCUGACGCUGAGACACGAAAGCCAGGGGAGCGAACGGGAUUAGAUACCCCGGUAGUCCUGGCCCUAAACGAUGUCGACUAGAUCGUGGGACCUCUGACGGUUUCACGGUCGAAGCAAAAGUGCUAAGUCGACCGCCUGGGAAGUACGGUCGCAAGGCUAAA
rnacentral:rRNA from 1 species